rnacentral:rRNA from 1 species
ACGACUCUCGGCAACGGAUAUCUCGGCUCUCGCAUCGAUGAGAACGCAGCGAAAUGCGAUACUUGGUGUGAAUUGCAGAAUCCCGUGAACCAUCGAGUUUUUGAACGCAAGUUGCGCCCAAAGCCUUUUGGCCGAGGGCACGUCUGCCUGGGUGUCACGCAACAU